AAUGCAUAUUCUCACUUCCUGGUUAACUACCCACUAAAACACAAAUAAAACCUUUAUAACAGAAACAUACUCUACCAUAUUCUCUCUCACAGUAUUCUCCUUGCUCUAACUUAGAAGAGGCAAUCUCUUUCGAGUGAAAUCAAAUCAGGCAAUGCCUAAAUUAACAGACAGAAAGGACCUCCCAGGAGCUGUAUAAGGAUAUUCCAAGAGUGAAAGAGACUGCUUUCCAGUAACCCAGGACAAACAAAAGCCAGAACUCUCUUUAGGAUCAGAUGGCCAGGAGCUUCUGCAGCACAUUGGGAAAUACAUCAGUUGAUAACUUGCAGGAACGAAAAUAUCUUUGUCAUUUAUUUGUUUGUUUGCUUCUAUUACUUGUUUGGCUUUUUAUAAGAUUCUAAGUUGGACAAUAUUUUUCCCUCCACGUUUUCAAGACUUUGCUUAUUUUGAGCUCUAAGUGUUGCAGUUGAGAAAUUCAGUACAUUUACGUGAAGCCUCCUCCUCUACCCAAAAACAUCAUGGGAUCUUCUCUUUAUCCUGUGUUCUAAAAACCCAGAGUGGGAGCGACCAUAUGACCCAGCAAUUCCACUCCUAGGGAUCUACUCAAAGGACAUAAAAACAUUGAUUCAAAAGACUACCUGUACACCUAUAUUUAUUGCAGCACUGUUUACAGUAGGUAAAACCUGGAAACAAUCCAUAUGUCCAAAAAUAGAUGACUGGAUCAAGAAGAUGUGGUAUAUAUACACAAUGGAAUAUUAUUCAGCAAUCAAAAAAGAUAAACUCAUGCCAUUUGCAGCAACAUGGAUGGGAGCUAGAAGGAAUUAUGCUCAGUGAAAUAAGCCAGAAGGAAAAAGAAAAAUAUCGGAUGGUUUCACUUACAGCAGGAAUAUAGGGGAACCCAAUAAGACAUCAGUGUAAAAAAAAUAAUAACCGUACAAAACACAACAAAGCAAAAACAGGCAAUUAUAAACCAGAGACAUACUGCAGGGGAGGAAGCUGGAGAAGUAUCAGAGGGAGGGAGGGACGAGCACAGGGGACUGAGAUGAUGGUGCAUGGGUGCAUUGAUGAAGGAAACUCUAUGGGGACUACACCUGAGGGUGUGGGGAGAAGCAAAUAUUGUUUAAAAGUGAACAAUGUUAUAAAAAAUAUAAAAAAAAUCAAUUAAAAAAAGAAAAGAAACUGAGUUGGAAGUUUUUAAAAGUAAAUAAAAAAAAAAUCCAUAGUGGCAUAGAUUGCUGACCGGGGCCCCUGAGGUGCACACAUAUAGGGCACCAAUACAGAAGCACUUGUGAAAGGAAGUUGACAUUGUUUUCUAUGAUGUUGACCCCAAACUUGUUUCUGCCCUAAGUGUCCACAUAAGACAAUCCUAUUUGGUGAGGUUAUUUUCAUCCAUUGCACAGAGUUCCAGGUAUGACUUUAAGCUCUAGAACAUUUUCUUGAAUUUUUUUGCCUUUUUAU